rnacentral:snRNA from 1 species
UAAAAAUGUCCAAAGAUG